AACGGCCGUACCAUGCUGAAUAUAUCGGUUCUCGUUAGAUCACCAAAGUUAAGCAUCAUUGGGCGCGGUCAGUACUUGGGUGGGUGACCACCUGGGAACACUGCGUGCCGUU
rnacentral:rRNA from 1 species